GCAUUGCAGCAACCUCUUUCUCCAUUGCAGCUAAUUCUCUUCUCAUCUUCUUCGCUUCAACCUCCAUUGCCUUUGUUAAUGUUUCCACCUUCCUCGCUAGCAUCUAUACAAACAUCAAUGUUAUCAUACAUCAUUACAUUUAAAAGAAAUAAAUGUGGAAACUCUACCUCAAUGGCAUCAUCCUUGUCUUUGAGGCUUUGAUCUUUUUCAUGAGAGGCUUUCCUCAAAGAAACUACUUCUUUCUGCAGCAAAUCAUACAAAACACCUGGGACACUAUCCUC
rnacentral:lncRNA from 1 species